rnacentral:misc_RNA from 1 species
AUCUGUAAAGUCAAUUAAUUGUCAGAUGAGAGAAUGUUUGUGUUUUUAAAAUUGUUAUUCGCCUCUUAGAUUUGUCUAUCUAUCUUUCUAAUUCUUUAUCAUCUGUUUUUUUUUGUAAUUUUGGUCAUUACUUUUUUAUAAUUAUUAUUUUUAAGAGUUCUCCAUUCUAUUAUUAUAUAAAAGUUUAUAAUUGAUAUUUCCAGAAGAAAAGAUAGCCAAAUAAUAGGUAUAUCAUUUUGUUAAGUUCCGGUUUAUUUUACAAAGGUUUUCAUAAAAUAAUUUUGAAAAUGUUCUCUGCAGUUCAUAUUUUUAGAAUGUGAAACGUAUGGUUAACACGCACGAAAAGUUCGAAUGUAUUUCUUUAACAAAUAUAACAACAUGAUGUGUUCACAGAAAAUAUUUUGAUAUUUGUAUAACACAAUGGAUCUAUUAAAAGCUCCAUCGGUCCAAUCACUACUUGAUUCUGACUUGGAAUCUGUUGAAAGUCUACAAUAUUUGGAUAUUGAAGAGUUAGAUGAAAUAGAAUAUGCUUUACCAGCCAGUGAAGCACCAACUCUGGCAGAAAUUUUAUCAACAGAUGAGGAGGAGAAACAAAGUGAUCCAGUUAAACAGGCUCAGGAACCCUUAACUUGUUCUGUUUUACAAUUGGACUUUUUGCAAGCAGUUUCACAGCAGUUGGUACAAGCACAAGAGCGGUCAUCAGCUGGAGCUGUAACAACUUUGAGUGUGGGAAAAGAUGGAAAAUUAACAGUAGGAACAGCUCAUGGUCAUCUUAUAUCAUUUUAUGAACAAACUCUACGUUGGGUUUGUGAUGCAAACGCAGAUCGUGGCGCUGUAUCAUGUUUGUCUUAUAAUACUGACAGUACCCGUUUACUCGCUGGUUAUGCUCGAGGACUUAUAUGUCAGUAUGAAAGUGUAAAAGGAAUACUUCUCAGAAAACUUACAUUAGGUGGUGAAAUUUGGGGUAUCUUACGAGUGACUUGGGCUGGAACAUCAGGUCUUGCACUUGAUACUGGAGGAUCGGUUUGGUUGAUGAAAUUUUCGAGACCUCUAGGAGUACGUUCCGCUCGUACGUCGUGUCUAUUUUCGGGUGCUAGAGGAGAAGUCGUAGCAAUGACUGCACGAGACGCCCGUAUCUUGGCACUAGCGACAUUGUCCCGUGUCAUCAUUGUCGCUGGCGGUCGUGCAGCUGGAAUACGUCUUGGUGGACCACCUGACACUCUUCCCGUUUUAGAGUGGAGUGAAACCGAUGACAGAAUAUUGGUAUGUGCUCGCGCGACUACAUUACAGUGGUUAUCUGUGGCUGUGACUGGAGCCUCCAUUAUUCUACGUCUUGUGCAACGCGUUCACUUGAAAACGACGCCUUUGUGGCUUGGUUGGUUAGGCGGAAGUUUAGCAAUAUUCGAUUCCGACGAAAAUCUCCGUUUGUGGGGAGAUGAUUAUGAAAGAGCCUUGGAUCUAUCUCAAAUUGAGCCUGUAUACGCGUCAGCUUUUUUUAAGGGACUUUGGACGGAUGGUCGAGUGUCACGCGCGAUGUGUACAGCUGGCGUGAGUGCUCUGGGCGGCGCAUGCGUUUUGGAGGGCGCUUUAUCUCUCCUCGGGCGCAAAGGAAUAGUGCGAGUACGUCCCAGGGACGUAUUAACUAGAGCACAAGCAUUACUUUCAUCUGGACAUUAUUUGCAAGCAUUGCGAGUACUUUGUUCCACUGAGGGGCAUGCAGCGAAGGAGCUUGCAAUUCAGUUUAUACAAAAUAUAUCUGAAAGACCACAUGUACUGAGUAAUAAAAUUAUUGCAGACCAAACAAUUAAAUUAUGUCUAAAGUUUGGUUUAAGUGACGAAUUAUGGAAUAAGCUUUGGGAGCAAUGUUCUAGUGAAAACACAUUUGUGGAAGCUUUAGGUGAUGCAGCCGUUCGCGGUGAUUUGACCGUGGCUCCACCAUCCCCCGAUUCCACGCAGGCUUUAAUCGAGUUAUUAGCAGAAUUUGAGCCAGGCCUAGUAGAAAGAGUCGUUGCAUCUCUGCCGCUUACUUCUAUAGAUCCACACCGUGCAAGCGUAUUUACAAGAAAAAAGGGACUGUGGCGUGGUGUGGGUGCAAUUGCAGCUGCUCUAGGUGGCAGCGGCGGCGCGAUGCGCGAGUUGGUGAAGUUCGUGGAGGCGUCAUGUCCGGCGGCGGUCGGAGGCGGUGCGUGUCGCUGCGCGGGCGCGGCGCUGGUGGUGGCGGCGGCGGACGCGCUGGCGGGCCGCGGCGCCGGCGGCCGCGCGCUGCCCGCGCAUGCGCAGCCUUCCGCCCGCCGCGAUGCGCUGCACGCGCUGCUUGCUGACGAGAGUGGCGGCGGCGGCGAUGAGGAGGCGCCGCUGCGUGCGCUGGUGCGGCACGACGCGGCGGCGGCGGCGCGGCUGCUGGAGCACAGCGCGCGCGAGCCUCCCUUCGCGGGCCCGCUCGCCAAGCAGAACAGGCUGCGGGUCGCGCGCGCGCUGCUCUCCUACACGCGCGACCUACACCACACGAAUACGGAAGCGUGUACGGAAAUAUUAGAGUUUAUUACGAAUCAGCUCAGUGCGGGUGCGCUGCCUCCUGAUCAAGAAGUCAUAAAAGGUGCACAAGAAUUGGCGACCGUGUGUAGCGGAGAGCGCGGGGACCGAGCUUGGCUGGCACUGAUGCUGCGUACGAGGACGCAGCGGGAACAAUUGGCCGCGCUGCGAGACUUGGCGCUCAACCGGCCACGUGUACUGUGGCGACUCGACACGCUGCUCGAGCGACACGACGACGCCCUGCGGGAUUUCUUCACGAUAGAAUCUCCGACUACGCGAGAUAUCGACGAAUUCUUUGAAUAUUUAAGGAGUCAAAUCGAAGUGAAUGGAAAAGAAAAUUGGUUUCAGUCAUAUCCAUCGGAGGAGCGUUGCAAUUUACUACGUUCCCUAGUGCAACUGCGCCCGCGGGCCGCCGCCGCUCUAGUUAACGAUGAAGUUUUCGAAACCGUUGCCGCCGUAAUAUCUACCACAAGAGACGAACGAACUGUUGAGUUUGGCGAGAGCCUUCUAGAAGCAGGCUUUCUUCGAGGAGACGCCGCUGCCGCUCAUCUGCGAAAUCUAUGCACUCUAAAACGGAAGAGUGUGAAAGCGUUUCUCCUAAAAAAUCCAGGUAUCGUCCGGCCGGAGGACGCUCUUGCGAUCAUCGAGGAGAUGAAAGUGGAGGAUGCCAAGCCAGUCUGCCUCGAGGCUACCGGCGAUCCAGAGGGCGCUUUAGAUGCGAUACUGAACAUGAUAAAAUCCGACCAAAGCGAGGAGGUGACUGCGCGGCUGAUAAUGGAGGCGGGGGAGCUGUGCACGCGGGCGUCGCGGGGUGCGCCGGCCGAGGUGGCCGCCGCGCUGUGGGCGCGUGUGCUACACAACGCAGGCGGUGCGCCGCCGGCCGCGCUGCUGCUGGAGGCGGCGGCCUGGGUGCCCGCCGAGGCAGUGUUCAGCGGCGCAUGGCAGUCGGCAUGGAGCGCGCUGCUGGUAGUGCGCACGGCGGCGGCCGGUCGGCGCGGCUGGGCUGCGGCGGCACGCGUAACGGGACGGGAGGCUCACGAAGCUCUGGCGCGCGCGCUGGCGGCGGCGCGACGCGGUCUGUCAGUGCGCGGUCGCUGCUGUCGCUGCGGCGCGCGCCUGGACGCGCAGCCGCCCGUUCGCACGGCGCACUGUUCGCGCGCCGCCCACGCCGCUUGCGGCCUCGACUCCAGCUGCGACUUCUGCGGCGAACGUCUGCCCGGGGAGGUGCUCGCUCUGCCUGCGCGUUCUAAUCGCCGACGGUCUUUGCCGCCUCAGGAACACGAUCUGAAUCUGGUGGCACCUCCGCGUCCUGAUCUCGAAGGAAUCGUUUAAAUCCUUAUGUCGUGUAGUCUGUGAUGGAUUACGUUUUCGAGAACAGCGGGUAAACUAACUAGUCUUCAUGUUUUGGGCCGAUAUUUUUAUUUUCAAUCUAAAACGGUCAUAUUAAGAUUUAUCAGAAAAUUGUUUAUAAAGCUUCACCCGUCCCUAAAACAGUUUACAUUGUAGUGUAUAUCAUAAUAUUACACAUGUAUGUAUAUAAUAAAUUUUUAUUUCAAUGAUUUCAUUAAAAUUGCAAAGCAAAUUCAUGUGGUCUGCGAACUAAUACUGAUCUAUUAAUAUAACCAAAAUUUAAGAAUUGCUAUUGCUACCGUAAUAAUGUGACUGACUUCUUUGGUAUAAUUAAGGAGAGAGGAGGCGGGUUGACUGCGGCUUUGUGCCCACUCCAGGAGCAAAGCUUUGCAGACUUGUAUGAGAGUAUGGAUGUCGAUGUGAGGUGCGUGUUGAUGGUAUGGCUGCGUUUAAGCCGCGUUGUGAUGAUGUUGAAUGAGCGGUGAAAAUAAGCAGUCCAAGUAGCUAGUACAGUGGUUUAAUGCGCAGGUUGUACACACAAUACAAUCAACAACACAAUAAAAAGGAGUGAAAGAAGGAUGAUACAGUGAAAAGAGAAGAUGAAAAGUUAAUAAGCGCGAUGUUAAUUUUAUAAAACGGAAGCCGCUCAAGCUGUAGCAUUAGUUCAAGCAGAUCACGGACAACGUGAGGUCGCUCGAAGACUGGAUUAGUAGAUCUUCAGUGCAACGAGUUUACAGACGAUACUUAGAGAUUGGAGCAUUCGAACGCCGUCCAAGUUUUUUUUUUUUUUUUUUUUUUUUUAUACAACUUUGAAUGGCAAACAAGCUGACGGCCCACCUGAUGAAAAGUGGUAACUGUUGCCUAUAGACAUGAGCAGUAUAGGUACGGGCAGACCUAGGGCUACAUCAGCAGCAAAUGAUCGUUACAUCCAACUUACUGUUCUGCAAAAUCGUCGACUCAACGCAGUUCAAGUCCAACAAAGUCUGCGUGAUGAACGUCAAGUGAUCAUAAGUUCAGAUACUGUAGAAGGAGACUUGCUGAACAGGACCUGACUCCAAAAAAAGCGGCAACAGGUCUAGCAUUAACGGUAGCCCACCGUCGAGCACGACUUGAAUUUGCUCAAGAGUAUAGAGAUCAGACGUUGGAGCAGUGGAGUAAAGUUCUCUUUACUGAUGAGACAAGGGUGAGUCUACGUGGAAGUGAUCGACGUUGGAAAGUAACGCCCUGAAGUGUAAGUGAUCGCCCUGGUGAACGUUAUUCUCAGUGUUGUAUCGAAGAAACUGUUUCUUAUGGAGGAGGAUCUGUAAUGGUGUGGGGCGGUAUCUCAUUAACUGCACAUACAGCUUUAGUUUUCAUUGAACCGACAGGCCGUACACGUGGAUUGACUUCUCAUCGCUACAUUUCUGAAAUCCUAGCAGAUCAUGUGGUACCUUACGCAGGAUAUACAGUGGAUGCAUGAUAAUGCACGGGCUCAUGUUGUGACCCAAUAUCUACGCGACGUUGGCAUCCGUACGAUGGACUGGUCAGCUCGAAGCCCGGACUUGAAUCUUAUAGAACACUUAUGGGAUGAGCUGAAACGUCGGAUUCGAGCUCGGGUACCUGCUCCAACAAGGCUUCCAGAGCUGUGAAUCGCAAUUGAAGAGGAGUGGAAUGAAAUUCCCCAAGAUAUCAUCGUCAGGCUCGUGAGAUCUAUGAAUACGAUGAUGCUAUCAGUUAUCAGAGCAAGAGGAAGGAACACUGAAUACUAAUCAUAAACUUUUUUUAAAAUUUUUUUCUUUGUUUCCGGCUUUAAUUUGUUUUUUACUUGGUGAUAAACGAAUUGCGCGACUGGAAACGACUCAUCUUUGUAAAAUUCUUAAUAAACACUUGAUUGAUAAAUCA